GAGUCUAGAUAUACUCCCCGGAGCAUGUCCCGUCUCGUCUGAUCUUGGAAGCUAAGCAGGGCUGGGCCUGAAGUGAAGGUGCACAGGAGAGAGAGAGGAGCAGCAGAAGAGACUGACAGCUACUAGGCUCA
rnacentral:rRNA from 1 species